AGAGUUUGAUCAUGGCUCAGGAUAAACGCUGGCGGCGCACAUAAGACAUGCAAGUCGAACGGACUUAACCAUUAGUUUACUAUUGGAGCGGUUAGUGGCGGACUGGUGAGUAACACGUAAGCAACCUGCCUAUUAGAGGGGAACAACAGUUAGAAAUGACUGCUAAUACCGCAUAUGCCUUGAGUAUCGCAUGAUACAAGAGGGAAAGGAGCAAUCCGCUAAUAGAUGGGCUUGCGUCUGAUUAGAUAGUUGGUGGGGCAACGGCCUACCAAGUCGACGAUCAGUAGCCGGACUGAGAGGUUGAACGGCCACAUUGGGACUGAGAUACGGCCCAGACUCCUACGGGAGGCAGCAGUCGGGAAUAUUGCGCAAUGGAGGAAACUCUGACGCAGUGACGCCGCGUGCAGGAAGAAGGUUUUCGGAUUGUAAACUGCUUUAGACAGGGAAGAACAAAGACAGUACCUGUAGAAUAAGCUCCGGCUAACUACGUGCCAGCAGCCGCGGUAAUACGUAGGGAGCAAGCGUUAUCCGGAUUUAUUGGGUGUAAAGGGUGCGUAGACGGGAAGGCAAGUUAGUUGUGAAACCCCUCGGCUUAACUGAGGAACUGCAACUAAAACUAUCUUUCUUGAGUGCUGGAGAGGAAAGUGGAAUUCCUAGUGUAGCGGUGAAAUGCGUAGAUAUUAGGAGGAACACCAGUGGCGAAGGCGACUUUCUGGACAGUAACUGACGUUGAGGCACGAAAGUGUGGGGAGCAAACAGGAUUAGAUACCCUGGUAGUCCACACCGUAAACGAUGGAU
rnacentral:rRNA from 1 species